rnacentral:rRNA from 1 species
AACGAACGCUGGCGGCAGGCCUAACACAUGCAAGUCGAGCGAACCCUUCGGGGUUAGCGGCGGACGGGUUAGUAACGCGUGGGAAUAUACCCUUUGGUACGGAAUAGCCUCGGGAAACUGAGAGUAAUACCGUAUGUGCCCUUCGGGGGAAAGGAUUUAUCGCCAAAGGAUUAGCCCGCGUUGGAUUAGAUAGUUGGUGGGGUAAGUGGCCUACCAAGUCUACGAUCCAUAGCUGGUUUGAGAGGAUGAUCAGCAACACUGGGACUGAGACACGGCCCAGACUCCUACGGGAGGCAGCAGUGGGGAAUCUUAGACAAUGGGCGCAAGCCUGAUCUAGCCAUGCCGCGUGGACGAUGAAGGCCUUAGGGUUGUAAAGUCCUUUCAGAUGGGAAGAUAAUGACGGUACCAUCAGAAGAAGCCCCGGCUAACUCCGUGCCAGCAGCCGCGGUAUGUAUCGUACG